rnacentral:rRNA from 1 species
UACGUAGGUGGCAAGCGUUGUCCGGAUUUAUUGGGUUUAAAGGGUGCGUAGGCGGUCUUUUAAGUCAGUGCCGAAAUACUCCAGCUUAACUGGAGGGGUGGCAUUGAUACUGGAAGACUUGAGUGUAGUCGAGGUAGGCGGAAUUGACGGUGUAGCGGUGAAAUGCUUAGAUAUCGUCAAGAACACCGAUAGUGAAGACAGCUUACUAGGCUACAACUGACGCUGAGGCACGAAAGUGUGGGGAUCAAACAGG